rnacentral:lncRNA from 1 species
AGAUCGUGCCACUGCACUCCAGCCUGGGCAACAGAGUGAGACUCUGUCCCCUCCCCCCCGCAAAAAAAAAUCAGUUAGAGCUUAGUGUAACUUACCAGCGCAAGUGAGAGACAGACUUUCGUAAGAUAUGACAGCAAUCUAGAUUUUUUAUAUAGGACCUAUUUAUAAAUAUUGUUGAAUGAGUACUCUCCGAGUUACUUUUUCUGUAUUCACCAUCAGGUCACACAGUAGAGUAGUUCAUUAAUUUCUUGUUGUCUUCUGUUUUGCAGUUAGUUAAUGUUCCAUAUAAAGAAACUGUCAUGUGACACCAGUACCUCCUAAAAUUGGUCAGUGUGGUAGAUGGUUUAGAGAAAAAAGGAACCUGUUCCACAGGGCUGUGACCAUUCGAGGGAAGCACAUUCAAAGAUGUAGAUCCCCUCAGAGAAGUUUUCCAUUUCCCUGAAGUUAAAGAUCUUCAAAUGACUGCAAAUAACAUGAGGAUAUAUAGAAAAAUGCCCUUCCCCAAUUUCCAAAUCGUGAAAAUUUGGCUCAGCAGAGCCCUAAUUUGUUUAGAACUGUAAUAUGCACAGUUAAAACAACUUGUCCUCUCAGGACCUUUUGCAGUUAGGGUUGGUCGUAUGACAUGGUCCUGCGAAGAAGAUACGGAUAGAAGUCUGUGGGUGAGUGGGACUGCCUGGAAACCUGUUGCUUUACUAAGAGAAAGAGACAGACUUAGCUGACAUACAUACUUUGUCCUUUGCCUGUGAUCAUGAUGCGUAGAUGCUUGGUGGCCAUCCUGCAAUCUUGACAAUGAAGAUGUGCUAAAGAUGGCAGAGCAGAAGAUAAAGCUUGGCUUUUCUUUUUUUUUUUUUUUUUUUAUGGCAUCAUGAAAUCAUUUUGUAUAAAACAUGAACUGCUUUUUUAAGGUUCUACAGAAAAACAGAAGAGAUAGGAGAUAGGGAGAAAGAGAAAGUUGUUGCGGGGGAGGGAGAGAGAUUUAUUAUAAGGAAUUGGUUGAAACAGUUAUGGAGGCUAAGUCCAGUGAUCUGUACCCCGCAAGCUGGAGACCCAGGAAAGUUGGUGGUGUAGCUCCCGUCUGAAUCCAAAGGCCUGAGAACCAAGAGAGUCAAUGGUGUAAAUUCUAGUCUAAGUCCAAAGGCCUGAGAACCAGGAGAGCUGAUGGUGUAAUUCCAGUCUGCAGGUGGACUGGAGCGUAGAGAGAGCUAAUUCUCCUUUACCCCAUCUUUUUGAUCUAUUCAGGCCACCAGUGGAUUGAAUGAUGCCCGUAUGCACUGAGAAGGGCCAUGUGUUUACUCGGUCUACCAAUUCAAAUGUUAAUCUCAUCCAAAAACACCCUCACAGAUACCUUUGGAAUGAUGUUUAACCAAAUAUUUGGGUACCGUCUUCCCCAGUGAAGUUGACACAAAAUUAACCAUCACAGCUGCCUUCCUGUGGGCCUCAUGUUAUAUGAGAACAGUAUUGGGUAAGUUGGGUUUCCAUUAUAUUCUGCUGAACUCAGUCCCCAAGCAAUGUAUGCAUUACUCAAACUUCUUGACCUUCAAAAUCAUCAAGUGACUUGUGGCAAGUGUGCCAUGGUGCUGAGGUCUUUGUUCAUUUCGACUGGAAUAAAAUCGGACUUUGCCACAUCCUCCUAAGAUAAAAUAGAUGUGAGAGCAUUUACUUGAAGUGGUUCUGUGGAUGUUGGUACAUUGUGAUUUCAGUUACAGAAAAGCCACAGAUGGAACUGAUGUUAAAAGCACCUCAAGGACAACCAGGUACUGGAGCAGAUGCCAAAAGGAGUUCUUCUGCCCUGUCAUCAAGAUUCUGAAUCACUCAAUUUAUUGGACAAAAGCAUUUAGCUCUGAUUCCUCUUGUGUUCUCUCCAAAUCUCCAUCAGAGUAAGAAGAGACUUUGAGAGAAUUAGUCUCUCUUCUGAGUAUCUGUUAUAGAUGUGAAAGAUACUUCAGAAAAUACAUGGCUCUGGUUUCAUCAUUUUGGGAAAAGCAGCUUGAUAUGCUUUGACUUGUUAUUACUACAGUUCCGUCUGAGAUGGCAACUCACGUUACACUAACGUGGGCCAAAAAAAAAAGUGCUUGUGUUUUUGUCCUUUAUAGAGUUUUUUAAAAAUUAAAAAGCUAAAAAUUAGUUUGUCUUAAAUAUUAUAGCAUAGAUUUUAGAGGUCUCUUUGAGAUUUUAGAACCUGUUAGUUCAUCCUUUGAUUAGGAAUUUCUAGCCAGGACUCAGGAUAAAGGUCCAAUUUCUGGUCAGUAGGGGCGCUGGUUGUGAGGCUGUUGUCUCAGCUCCAGACACAUCUUCAUACUCUGCUUUGUCAUGAGACUCUGCAAACCACAUCUUUCCUUUGCUGGAGAGCUUUUUGUUAGGGUAUACCAGGAUUGGACACGAGAGACUGGAACCUGGAGGCGGGAAGAAGGGAGCUCCCCCCUUCUAUUUGCUUUCUGUUUCUAACAACGAUGGCACAGCCGUGGUUUUCCAGAAGCUGAGCAGUGGCUGUUCACUCCUGAAGGAAUAGUGGGUUCCAGGGUGCGGUUUUCCACACUUGUAGAACCAGCUUCAUCUCUCCACUCAAAGAUCACCGCACCGUCAGCCGGUGGCGCCUCUUCAGAGGUUUGAAUCCGAGCUCUGUGGAGUCCCCACAUUUCUGAGGUACCAGUUACCAGGAGAGUGGUGUCCACGCCUGAGAGGUUUCACUCCCAGCUCCUGGAAAAGCUUCCACAUUUUAAUGAUCCCAGCCUUGCCUCUGGUUCCCAGCCCUAAGCGUGGCGGCUUCCUAUUGCAGUUAUCUCUGUGAUACCUGAGAGUCCCCUUUUUGCCUCCUACCUCUUCACUAUCUGUUGACAGUUGUUUGUUCAAUCAUCUCUCUUAGAAUAAUUGCUAUGGUCUUGGUCCGAGAUAUAAUAGGCAACCAGGUUUUCAGCUCCUGGAAAAGAGCCAUGAGACCCAGGUCCUCUUCUACGCAAUCCCAAGCUCAGGUGGAUUUUUCACUAGCUUUCCUCAAUACAACAUAGGGAUCCCUCCCUAGAUGAUGUGAUUCACCCCCGUGGGGAUAGCUGCGAGAUUAGGGGAAACUGAUGUUUUACCUACACCCUGGUCAUGAAGACCUUGCUUUGCUCCCUCCUUCAUUCCUACCCUGCUGUUCCUCAGUCUCCUCAAGACCUAUGUCCAAUCAGUCUGUUUUCUCCUACUUAAUAGCACCUUCUCAGCUUCCCUUUUCUUUUUAGUCAGUCUGGAUCCCAUUACCAUCAUUUCAGUCACCUUCCAGUCCCUUUUACUCUCACAUGUUUUUGUUGUCCUGCCACACCUGCUGACAACCCCAAGCCAGAGUCAUUCCAACCUCUCUCCUCCCAUGCUCUGACAUGAUAGUAGCUGCCCUGGAGGAAAUUCACAAUCUAAGCAUCCAAUGUCAGCUGGAUCCUCCCUGCCAUAGCUCUCCUGAUGCCUCUGCUCUAUCCUGAUCCUACCCUGCUGCCUCCUUUUUAUCUCACUUGGAGGGUGGCCUAACCUACCCUUCUCAUACAGCUUGAAUAUGGAGGCAAUCUUAAGGCCUCUUUCUACCUCCAAAUCUACCAGCAUCUUGUCUUACUUGAUUUGGAGAAAAAGCUGUUCCUCUUUCUGUCAUAGGCUAAAUCUUCCACUAUCCUGCUUUCUUAUCUAUUAUGUUAUCUAAUUUACUUUCUAUUGGCCCCCUCUACUUCCAGUGUAAUUAAGUCUUAUAAGGGCAGGGAAUUUGCAUCUGUUUUGUUUGUGCAGAUGUGAGGUGUGAGGAAAGGAAAGCUGAUGAAAAAGAAAGCUUGGAUGAUUCCCAGAUUUUUGGCCUGAACACUGGAAGGCCUGGAGUUGCCUGUAACUGAGCUGGGGAGGGCCAUUCAUUGGUGAGGUUUGGAGGGGACAGUCAAGAGUUUAGUUCAGGACAUGUUAGCACAUUAGACAUCCACGUGGGGAUAUUGGGUAGGCAGUGGAAUGUACAACUUUUAGAGAGGAGGUCUAGGAUAUAGGGAUAAAUAUCAGUCUCAUCAGCAUAAAGAUGGCAUUUAAAGCCAUGAGAGUAGAUGGGAACUUUAAGGAAUAAUUGUCAAUAAUAAAGGGAAGGAGUCUAAGGACUGAGCCCGGGGACACCAAUGCCAAGAAGCCAGGGAAGAAAAACUACCAAGGAGAUUGAAAAGGAGAGCCCUGGACUACGAUACCAGGUGGAAAACCAGGACAAUGUGGCAUCCUGACAUCCCAGUGAAGAAAGUGUUUCAAUGAAGUGUCCCACUUCUUCACACUCCAAAGUGUGGCUGGCAAGUGAUAUUAGAUGAGAACAGAGAAUUAACCAUUGGAUUUGGCAUUGCAGGGAGUCAUCGUUGACCUUGGCAAGAGUGGGUUUAGUAGAGUGGGGAGGGGUGAAAGCAUAAUUGGAGUGGGUUUGAGAGAAAAUGGAUAAAUGAAGGAGAAAACAAUUAGCUCGUGGGGAUAAAAAUUUAUGAAGAUAGAAAUGGGUUUCUGAUUUAAAAAAUCAAUCUUGGUGCCAUUAUAAUCCUAUGGGCUCUUGAAAUUACUCUCCACACUGUGUUAUUCUUCUGAAUGCAGUGCAGGUUCUUCAGCUUUGCUGGAGUACGUAUCGACUUUGCUGGGAGCAUGACUUUGUGCAAGGCAUAAAGGUUAUACCUCUGCAGCUCUUCUACUUUGUCUCUGCCAUCUCUGACCACUCAACUCAGGUAACCAAUGAGAGAUGCCCUGUUGAUCUCUUAUCCUUGGGAAUAAUUUUAAUCUCUUCCUCCUGUUUAAUGCUAGUGUCCUCCUUUCCCCAUAAAUGUGGUUGUGUGCCUGUUUGUCUCGUCCAUGAGAGUAAGCUUUUAAGAACUGGAACUCUGCACCAAAUGUGCAGUGAAAUGACUUUGUUGGAGACCCAUUGUCUGCCUGCUGGCCCUCAUCAGUGGUGACUUCAUAUUCCUCUUUUUAGAGAGUUUUACAUAGAGCCUUUUUGAAAUGGUAUCCUGGGAAAAUAAAGAGCUGGCUGUUUGUAAUACUUUCUACCAGGAGUGGGGUGUUCACUUUGUGUUCUCUAAUAAUUAAAUGUUCGGAAUCACCUUUUUUGGCACAAUGAAAGGGCAGAUAAACAGAUUGAUAGAUGAAGAGGUGAAAAGUAGGAAGCAGUGGGAAAGAAAUGGGAAGAGGAUCUUCCUAUCUACCAGUUGCUUUCAUGUGGUAGAGCUUAAUGAGAAGAUGAUACGCUAAUUUCCUGAGCUGUGACAUAUUUACAUGUAGAAGACUUACGUGAGGGCCCUUUGUCUUUUUUCAAGUGUAGAUGAUUUUGAGAUGGCCUGGUUGCUUCCCCAAGGAGAGGAGGCUUCAGGCUCUCCCACGGGCAGUUUUUAGGGUGUAGGAAGUAGAGAACACUCUCUUGAUGGGCUCACUUCCAGAUGUGAUUCUCAGUGGAUUGUUUUCCUUUUCGGCAGCAUCAACUAGCUCUAGUGGCCAAGGCUUCUGUAAGGCUUCCCAUCCAGGAGUUUUUCAUGCAGGGAUGCUAUUGGAGGCCAGACUUCCAGUUUUGCUAGGAGGAGAUGCCUAUUAAGUUAGGGGGCCAGGGAUUCGAUUGCAGCAGUCACUACUCAAGUCAGUCAGUCACCAUUUCAUCUGUAAGUCAGGGACUCUUUGUACUUGCAGUCCCCAUAGGCGCUUGGCUCUCGUGAUGUGAUUUAGAGAGUCAGUGGCAGGGUUUGAGCUGCAGUGUGAGCACAGAGGAUUAACGGUAGUCACAGAGAGCCUGAGCAGCCUGUGUGAGUGACCCUCUGCAUCCUACAUGGAAUGAGGGACAACAUGGAGAGACUAAAGACGAUCCCUCAAAGCCUAGCUUCCUUCAUUGCUCCUGCCGUGGACUGUCUUGCAGGGACAGUACACAUGCUGGCACAUAUUACACACAGGGAGCCGUUUGCAGUGAAUAGUGAUGCAAAGGCUGAGAUAGUAUCCUCAUAAAGAUUGACCUCUAAUCUCAAGUCCUUUUUUGUAGUAGCAGGAAUACAUAAUUUAGACAAUAUUAUCUUGCACAGUUAACAGAAGGAAACUAGAAUAAGAGGGAAUUCACCUCAGCUGAACAAACCAAGCUUCUCUGUAUCAUCUAGCAAGCUCAUAAAAAUGCCAUCUAUAGAUUGACUUUAAUAAAGGAGCCCACUGAGGACACAAGCACCUGAAUUACAGAUUCCCAGUGCACACGCAAGCAUUUAUCGCUGACAGACAAAGGAACAAAAUCUCCAGGAGGCAGCUGGGAUCUUUUCAUUUUGAAAAUGCUUUAAUAAGUGUUGACAACACUGUUUUGCAAAAUGUAAAGGUACUAUACAAAUUCUUAAUACAAAAAGAAUAAAUUAAAAGCAGAUUUCUUUUUUUAAUUCUGCAACUUUGUCUACAACGUACAUCUUUUUCAUUGAUUACAGUUGAACAGAAUCCAGUAAAAUCAUUUUACAUGCUCUACAGUCAGUUUCAGGAGCAACCUAAUCUUUUUUCCCCCAUUAUUAAACUAGAGUCCAUUUUACACAACUUGUAAUAAACUAUUGACAUUAAUGUAUAUGUAAAACUUUACACCUAGUUAACUAAGCAGUAACUGGUCAUCUGAUAGCACCUGGAUGGGGUUUGCUAUAUUUAGAACUAAACUAAUACUGAAUGAAAACAAAUUGGAAUUUUAACAGUUUCAACACUCACCUGCAUAUAAUAAAAUAAAAAAUCAACCUGGCUCACAACAUAGUCUGAUGUAUGUGUUUUCACCAGUCUUCUGGCUGAAACAGGCAAUUUCUUUUACGCAUCCGAAGAAUCCAAUAGGGGCUUUAUAUCAGACCAAGGACUUCGUAUUUCACCUUAUUUUGUUUUAAAGAAAUAGGGAUAAAGAGUUUGCAAGUGCUUGUGUACAAUAACUACAUCAUUUCCCACCACACUGAUCAUUAAUCAUGUCAGUCUCAAAGGACUAACGUUUUAUGUACAUUUUGUAUUAACUGAACUCAGCUAAACAGUAAAACCUGUUUUACUUAAUCUCUGUCUUGACUACCAGACUAUCAUGAUGUUUGUUGGAACUGUAAUUCCUGCUCUCCAUUUCUCUCUGUCCCCCAAGUUGAAAAUAUAACCCAAAUCUUUAGAAUUUUUGCCUCUCAUUCCUUGCAACUCCAGUGGGCUAGAAUCUUGAUCCAGUUUUCUCCAGACUAGAUUUCAAGCUACUAUGCAUGAUGUAGAACAUGUAACCAUGUAACCUCAUCAGCUACCUUUUCCCUUUUGACUUUUCCUGUUGCACACAGUUCAGUCUGACUAUCCAUGAAUCUUCUUUGGGAGAAAGAAAAAUGGCCCAAUGUAUAAUGUUUCUGAAUGGGGAAGGGAGAAAAAAAAAAAAUCACUGUUCUUUGUAGCUCUAACCAUGAAAGUAAAAGCAACAAAAAUAUCCCCCAGUGAAUCCCUAGAAUCAUUUAAUAAUGUAACCGGUAUCUCUUUAUCCUGCAGGUGUACACUUAAAGCGUUCUGGGAAUAUGAAUCCCUUCUGCACCCUGGAAUCACCAGUCCAGCCAUGCAUGGAGCUGGGGAAAGCAGGCCCUGAAUUGUCUAGAGAGACUUGGUGGAGGAGGCCACGGCCCGCCUUGUCCCUGCCGGGUCCCGGCCAGGUGUGUGUGUGCCCCAGCUCGACUCUCGGUGGUCUCCAGGCUGCAGCAGAAGGAAUACCUUGGGCCCUGUGCUAAUCACGAGUCUUUCCUGUUCGGAGCAGUGAGGCCUGAGACCCUCAACAGUGCUGUGUGUACAGAAGGCCCCCAGAAUCCACACAAAGGGGCCGCCUGAAACCUAGAGCAUUUGUGAAGGAGGAAAAUGGAAGGUAACUUACUCAGUGCGGUGGUUCUUCAGCGUGGCUGCAUCCGGGGAGCACCUGGGAACUCCCAGAAAUACUCAUGCCUGGGCCCAAUUGAUUUGGGGUGUGUUUGAGCGCUGAGAACUGUCAAAGCUCCCCACCAGGUGAUUCUCAGAUGCAGCCAAAGCCAGAACCUCUGGGCUUUCCUCAGGGGACUUUUCCCACACGACAGCUGCCCGGGUUGUCCUCCGUGAGACCCCAGGGCUAACAGAUGUCACUAGGAAAUUUUUAUUCUGUCCUGGAAGAACAUUCAAAAUGUGAGUUUUCCCUAUAGUGAAACUGCGGUGGUAUUUUGAAUUGUGUUUUAAAAGUUUAAAAAAAAUCAAUGAUGACUUUGCUUUAUUCUAAAUAACAUGCAUUGUUUUGUGAUUAUAAAAGUGUGUUCAUUUAAAAUAGGAAAGUCUAUAGAAGAAAAUAAAAGGCUUUUUUUUUUUUUUUUAAGUAUUUUAGGGAGGUAUCACCAUUUAGGUUGGGUAGAAGUAAUUCUUAAAUCUUAAGAAGCAAUCAUAGAUAUGUGGAAGCCAAUAGUCAUUACUAGGGAUCAUGAUUCGGAAAAACAGCCUCUCUUCAAUGAUCCUGAAUGAGCCCUUUGAAUUCCUCUCCUGCAACUGAUCUCCCCAUGGGGAGUGGUGAGGGAUGGGUGACAGGAAGGGACCCUAACCCAAAGUAGUUCAGAGCGGGUGAGUUUUAGGAGCAUUUCGGUACCAAACACAGCUUCACGAUUGAGAAUCAUCAGUCAUCCCCAGCUUUCUAUUUCAUUUGCUAACCUCUCUAGGAACAACUGGAUGUUGUAAAUGUUUCUCAUCUGGCCUUAAAAUCCAUGAAAGCUGGAAAAUCACAAGGCAUCUGUGCAUAUACUGGUGGAUUUUAAUGAGAGUCCUGUGUUUGGAGCACCAGAAAUAAACCAGCUUCAGAAGCAAAGUAAGAAAAGGCCCUUGAUUAUGACACUGGCCAUGGGUAUUACUAUAUGUAGGUGGUAUGUGGAUGAUUCUGGGACACCUGUCCUGCAAACUUUGUCUCCACCCUAAGCUGACUUUUGACAUUGUGCCUGACUGAAAAACUUCUAAUGGGAGAGGUGGUUGGGCCUUGCAGGGGUCCUAUGUUUUUCUUAGGGGGACAGUCUCUCCCUAACUCCACGUGGUCCUGGUGGUGCUCUCCACCAUGGCGCCAUCCUCACUCCCGUGGGGGCCAGGGGACAAGGAACCCAACGGGGCCGGGCCAAUGAGAGUCCCCCGAUCAAAAUCCCUGGUUCAAAGGUGGCCACGUGCCUGAGCAGCUUUGAAACCACAAGGAUGUCAUUUCCUCCUGAGAACUAGGUUAACAGGAGGAGGAAGCAGAGCUAGAGAUGGAAGGAGACCCAGCCAGCCCGGGCUCCAGUGACAUCGGCUGGUACACGCUUUUGUUUGCUUACGCUUGUUGAACUGAGUUUUUCAUAUGUAACUAACGAAUACUGGCACAUGUAAGCCCGAGAAUUUGCAUUUCUGACAAGAUCCCAGGUGAGGCUCACUCGUGCUGCUGGCUUUGGGAUCACACUUAACUACCGGUAUAGUGGGGAAAGACAGGGUUUGGGGUCACAGAGGGCAGAGCUGGAAUUCCAGCUCCCUCCAGCUGUCAGACUUUGGGCCAGGCACUUAGUUCCUCUGAGCCUCAUCUAUGAAACGAAAACAUCUGGGUAUUUCCCCCGCAAGGGGAUGAUGAGGAUUGUAUGAGCUCAUGUGUGUUAGAAGCUGCUCGCAGCCUUUGAGUACACAGCAAGCACUCAGUAAGUGUUAGGACCCUUUCUUGCCAAAAAUGAAGGCUCCAGAAAACCUGGUGUAAAAAAAUUACCACAGAUAAACCUGCAGGAACAAAAAUGCCGACCAGGUGCCUGUAAUCCUAGCACUUUGGGAAGCUGAGGUGGGUGGAUCACCUGAGGUCAGGAGUUCGAGACCAGCCUGGCCAACGUGGUGAAACCCUGUCUCUACUAGAGAUUAGCCAGGUGUAGUGAUGCACACUAGUAAUCCCGGCUACUAGGAAGGCUGAGGCAGGAGAAUCACUUGAACCAUGGAGGUUGCAGUGAGCUGAUAUCGCACCACUGCAGUCUGGGCAACAGAGUGAGACUCCGUCUCAAAAAAAGGCCAAGUAUGAGAGCCUGAAAGGCAGACAAUACAGCCAAUUCUGGAAUUGUGCUUUUCUCAUGAUUCAACUCACAGCCAGUUGUCAGGUUUUCCCAGACAUCCCCCUGAUGCUCCACCAAACCAGGAACCAGACAAACCGAGGAAGGGGCCUCCUUAACUCCUCUAACCAACAGAUGAGAUGUUGACAGAACCUAACAUCUACUUAGAGAUGAUGUCUCAGGGGCAACAGAAGAGGCAGGUGCUGUAGGGCCAGGCGGGUUACCUGUGUCUGCCAGACCCUCCAGUAGUUCAGAAUAGCCUCACUGGCGCCGAGAUGAUAAUGCUGUAUGCAAACAUGUCAAGCUAUCAAAGGGAGCUGCCUUUCGGUUUCAUUAAUUUUGUUGUGUGCAGCUUCCACUGAAGGCUUCAGGGCACCUGAUCUCUUUUGUGUGUUGAGAAAGAGCAAGUGCUUGGCCAGGACACAGCCCUUUUUCUUGCACCCUGAGACAUCCUAAGACACUGGCUGUUUCACCUGCCCCAGUGUAUUUGCUGUCUUCAUCAGCUCUCUUUCUCCCCCUGACAUUCUUGCCUGGCAUUUUGAGUCAGCCUGAGUAUAAUCCAAACCGAAAUGAAAUGCUGUCUGGAAAUCUUACCAAAGAAGCACAGUCCCACUUCGUGCUUCCAUCUCCCCACAUCCCAAGGACCACCGCCUACUUUAAGAGAACACAGACAAUUCACCUCUAUAAAGGCACAGCCAGGAAAAGGAGUAGGCAGAGGUGACAGCAGAUCAUGGGGCUUCUCUUGAAAGGAAGACACCUCCCAGUGAUGAACCCUCAUCAUCCAUUUACUGACAUAUCCUUAUGUCACCAGGAUCUGAACGUCUAUGACACUCUUUCGAGCUGACACAGUGAAGAACAUAGAAGGAGAACUCACCCAGUCUGCCAGGGUCACAGAAUGAUCAUACUCAAGAUCUUCCUGGGGAGUCAAUGGCAAAUUUCACUGGGCUAUUUUACAGAUGAAGAAGGAACAUAAAGAAGGUUCUGGGACCCCGAAGUCCACGGAACACCCACCAUUACCUGAUCUUUGGAGCUUGUCAUUUGGCCAGUGGACCCUAAUAAACGUCCACGGGGAUGUGGGGAUAGAAUGCCAGAGCCUGGCUCGCUAGGGCAUCCAGGUUCUUCCUUCCUCUUUGCCCUGCUGUCUCCAGGCACCAAGAAUCUCCUACAGUUCCCCAAAGAUGAACCCCCCAUUAUCUCAGGUCACUCUGUUUCCCCCGAUCUUUACCAAAUUCCUGACUCAGAGUUCCUCCCAUUUGCUUCUGACUCUCAUUUUAUUCUUACCUCUCAUUUUAUUCUUAUGAUGUUUACCAUUUCUCUUCUCCUCAGUGUCCCUCUCUGAGUGGUAAGAGUAUGUUAAUAAGCCAGUGCUGAGACCGGAGCACGAGGCAACUGCUCAAUGUUGGUCAUUGUCACUGUUAUUAAAUGUAACUUAAGGGAA